rnacentral:rRNA from 1 species
CCUGAACGCUGGCGGCGUGGCUAAGACAUGCAAGUCGAACGAUCCCCGCAAGGGAGUAGUGGCGGACGGGUGAGUAAUGUAUCGCUAAUGUACCCCUCGAGUCAGGGAUAGCUGACCGAAAGGUCAGGUAAUACCUGAUAAAAUACCUUGGUCGCAUGGCCUGGUCUCAAAGGAGCAAUCCGCUCUAGGAGCAGGCGAUAUCGUAUCAGCUAGNGGUGAGGUAACGGCUCACCAAGGCGACGACGCGUAGCUGGUCUGAGAGGAC